UUCUCAGGCUGAUGGAGCAAAGUGAUGAAAUGGGGUUACCAUCUGUAGCUACUCCACUCUGCGCAGAAUGGCUGCAGGGGAUAUAUUCAGACGUGCCCCGAGGAGUCUGCCCAGGGUGAAACAAAUACAUUGGAGGU
rnacentral:lncRNA from 1 species